rnacentral:rRNA from 1 species
AUUGAACGCUGGCGGCAGGCCUAACACAUGCAAGUCGAGCGGAUGACGGGAGCUUGCUCCUUGAUUCAGCGGCGGACGGGUGAGUAAUACCUAGGAAUCUGCCUGAUAGUGGGGGACAACGUUUCGAAAGGAACGCUAAUACCGCAUACGUCCUACGGGAGAAAGCAGGGGACCUUCGGGCCUUGCGCUAUCAGAUGAGCCUAGGUCGGAUUAGCUAGUUGGUGAGGUAAUGGCUCACCAAGGCGACGAUCCGUAACUGGUCUGAGAGGAUGAUCAGUCACACUGGAACUGAGACACGGUCCAGACUCCUACGGGAGGCAGCAGUGGGGAAUAUUGGACAAUGGGCGAAAGCCUGAUCCAGCCAUGCCGCGUGUGUGAAGAAGGUCUUCGGAUUGUAAAGCACUUUAAGUUGGGAGGAAGGGCAGUAAGCUAAUACCUUGCUGUUUUGACGUUACCGACAGAAUAAGCACCGGCUAACUCUGUGCCAGCAGCCGCAGUAA